rnacentral:rRNA from 1 species
GUAGGUGGCAAGCGUUGUCCGGAAUUAUUGGGCGUAAGGCGCGCGCAGGCGGUCCUUUAAGUCUGAUGUGAAAGCCCACGGCUCAACCGUGGAGGGUCAUUGGAAACUGGGGGACUUGAGUACAGAAGAGGAAAGCGGAAUUCCAAGUGUAGCGGUGAAAUGCGUAGAGAUUUGGAGGAACACCAGUGGCGAAGGCGGCUUUCUGGUCUGUAACUGACGCUGAGGCGCGAAAGCGUGGGGAGCAAACAGGAUUAGAUACCCUGGUAGUCCACGCCGUAAACGAUGAGUGCUAAGUGUUAGGGGGUUUCCCGCCCCCCUUAGUGCUGCAGCUAACGCAUUAAGCACUCCGCCUGGGGGAGUACGGCCGCAAGGCUG